rnacentral:lncRNA from 1 species
UCUCUCCGAAUUCUUGAAUUCUUCAGCCCGGGCCGCCGCUGCCCUCCUGGUCCCUCCGGGCCGCACGCGCGGCAGGGAGCGAGCAGCAUCCGGUCCCUUCCGGAGCGCGCAGGCGGCGCCUUCUCAGCGUGCGCCCGGGGUGGGUCGACAGCGACCGGGACGGGAGGCGGGAGCGUUCCCGGAGGCUGCGGAGAGCCCCGCUUUGUCUCAAGGGACCGCUGGGAAGUUUCCUCCUUUUCCCGCCCGCAUCCCUCUCCUUCCAGGUGCUCCAGGAAGUCGCCGGAGCUGAAGGUGAAGAAACUGAGGCCCAGAAAGGUGCUAGCAGCAAUAGUGCAUGGCUUGCCAAGCGGUACCAUGUCCACACCCGGGAUCCGAACCGGCGAACCCCAAGCUGCCAAAGUGGAACGUGUGCACUUAACCGCUGCACCACCAGGCCGGCCCCAAGAUGAGUUUUGAUCACUGUAUACUAUUGUAUAACACCACCACAGUCAAGAUAUAGGCCAUUUCCAUCAUCCCAAAAAGUUCCCUUGUGCCCCUUUGCAGUCAAUCACUUCCUUCCACUCCAAGCUCUUGGCAGCCACUGAUCUGUUUUCUAUCCCUAUAGUUUUGCCUCU